UACGUAGGGGGCAAGCGUUGAUCGGAAUUACUGGGCGUAAAGGGUGCGUAGGCGGUUGUUUAAGUCUGUCGUGAAAUCCCCGGGCUCAACCUGGGAAUGGCGAUGGAUACUGGACAGCUAGAGUGUGUCAGAGGAUGGUGGAAUUCCCGGUGUAGCGGUGAAAUGCGUAGAGAUCGGGAGGAACAUCAGUGGCGAAGGCGGCCAUCUGGGACAACACUGACGCUGAAGCACGAAAGCGUGGGGAGCAAACAGG
rnacentral:rRNA from 1 species